GCAGGCCUAACACAUGCAAGUCGAACGGUAACAGGAAACAGCUUGCUGUUUCGCUGACGAGUGGCGGACGGGUGAGUAAUGUCUGGGAAACUGCCUGAUGGAGGGGGAUAACUACUGGAAACGGUAGCUAAUACCGCAUAACGUCGCAAGACCAAAGAGGGGGACCUUCGGGCCUCUUGCCAUCGGAUGUGCCCAGAUGGGAUUAGCUAGUAGGUGGGGUAACGGCUCACCUAGGCGACGAUCCCUAGCUGGUCUGAGAGGAUGACCAGCCACACUGGAACUGAGACACGGUCCAGACUCCUACGGGAGGCAGCAGUGGGGAAUAUUGCACAAUGGGCGCAAGCCUGAUGCAGCCAUGCCGCGUGUAUGAAGAAGGCCUUCGGGUUGUAAAGUACUUUCAGCGGGGAGGAA
rnacentral:rRNA from 1 species